GACGAACGCUGGCGGCGUGCCUAAUACAUGCAAGUAGAACGCACAGUUUAUACCGUAGCUUGCUACACCAUAGACUGUGAGUUGCGAACGGGUGAGUAACGCGUAGGUAACCUGCCUGGUAGCGGGGGAUAACUAUUGGAAACGAUAGCUAAUACCGCAUAAUAUUAAUUAUUGCAUGAUAAUUAAUUGAAAGGUGCAAUUGCACCACUACCAGAUGGACCUGCGUUGUAUUAGCUAGUAGGUGAGGUAACGGCUCACCUAGGCGACGAUACAUAGCCGACCUGAGAGGGUGAUCGGCCACACUGGGACUGAGACACGGCCCAGACUCCUACGGGAGGCAGCAGUAGGGAAUCUUCGGCAAUGGACGAAAGUCUGACCGAGCAACGCCGCGUGAGUGAAGAAGGGUUUCGGAUCGUAAAGCUCUGUUGUAAGAGAAGAACGGGUGUGAGAGUGGAAAGUUCACAAUGUGACGGUAUCUUACCAGAAAGGGACGGCUAACUACGUG
rnacentral:rRNA from 1 species